AUACGUCCUACGGGAGAAAGCAGGGGACCUUCGGGCCUUGCGCUAUCAGAUGAGCCUAGGUCGGAUUAGCUAGUUGGUGAGGUAAUGGCUCACCAAGGCGACGAUCCGUUACUGGUCUGAGAGGAUGAUCAGUCACACUGGAAGUGAGACACGGUCCAGACUCCUACGGGAGGCAGCAGUGGGGAAUAUUGGACAAUGGGCGAAAGCCUGAUCCAGCACAGGGGCGCGUGUGUGAAGAAGGUCUUCGGAUUGUAA
rnacentral:rRNA from 1 species